UGAAGCGUAUACACUCUCACUUUCUCUCACGCACAAGUGUGUAGUGUAUAAUGAGGUGUGUAUUAUUUUUUUUUUUAACCCUAUUUAAUUGAUAAUUAAAAAGAAUAACAAAAAGUGUACCAUGCAGCUAGUUGAAUUUGCCUAUUGUGUCCUGAUGCAUCAAUCGGUGGUUAGGGAAAACCCCAAAUACUAGACACAUGAUGUAUUACACUUUUAUCAUCAAUGAAAAAAUAUUUCUAUCUUCUA